rfam:Enterococcus gilvus ATCC BAA-350 genomic scaffold acEQl-supercont1.3, whole genome shotgun sequence.
AGAUCCUUUAAGAGUAGUCCCGUGAGGCUAAGAAGGAAGUAGAUAGUCGUUUGAACUAGGUGCGCCUAGGUGAACACUAUCAUUUUGACGAAGUCGAUAACAUUCCUCCUACCUAAUUACGGGUAGGAGUUUUUUUAU